rnacentral:rRNA from 1 species
GACUAACGCUGGCGGCGUGCCUAACACAUGCAAGUCGAACGAGGUAGCAAUACCUAGUGGCAGACGGGUGAGUAACGCGUAGAUAAUGUGCCCUCUUGCGGGGGAUACCGUUUCGAAAGGAACGUUAAUACCGCAUAACACGAAGCCGAGGCAUCUCGGAAUCGUCAAACUUCCGGGGCGGGAGGAGCAGUCUGCGUUCUAUCAGCUAGUUGGUGGGGUAAUGGCCUACCAAGGCGACGACGGAUAACUGGUCUGAGAGGAUGAUCAGUCACACUGGAACUGAGACACGGUCCAGACUCCUACGGGAGGCAGCAGUGAGGAAUCAUUCGCAAU